UACGUAGGGACCAAGCGUUGUUCGGAUUUACUGGGCGCAAAGGGCGCGUAGGCGGCCGAUCAAGUCGGAGGUGAAAUCCCUCGGCUCAACUGAGGAACUGCCUUCGAUACUGUUCGGCUUGAGUCCUGGAGAGGGUAGCGGAAUUCCCGGUGUAGCGGUGAAAUGCGUAGAGACCGGGAAGAACACCAGUGGCGAAGGCGGCUACCUGGACAGGUACUGACGCUGAAGCGCGAAAGCUAGGGGAGCAAACAGG
rnacentral:rRNA from 1 species